rnacentral:rRNA from 1 species
GACGAACGCUGGCGGCGUGCUUAACACAUGCAAGUCGAACGGAAAGGUCCUGCUUUUGUGGGGUGCUCGAGUGGCGAACGGGUGAGUAACACGUGAGUAACCUGCCCUUGACUUUGGGAUAACUUCAGGAAACUGGGGCUAAUACCGGAUAGGAGCUCCUGCUGCAUGGUGGGGGUUGGAAAGUUUCGGCGGUUGGGGAUGGACUCGCGGCUUAUCAGCUUGUUGGUGGGGUAGUGGCUUACCAAGGCUUUGACGGGUAGCCGGCCUGAGAGGGUGACCGGCCACGUUGGGACUGAGAUACGGCACAGACUCCUACGGGAGGCAGCAGUGGGGAAUAUUGCACAAUGGGCGGAAGCCUGAUGCAGCAACGCCGCGUGCGGGAUGACGGCCUUCGGGUUGUAAACCGCUUUCGCCUGUGACGAAGCGUGAGUGACGGUAAUGGGUAAAGAAGCACCGGCUAACUACGUG